AACGAACGCUGGCGGCGUGCUUAACACAUGCAAGUCGAGCGAAGUAGCAAUACUUAGUGGCGCACGGGUGAGUAACACGUGGGAAUCUGCCCUAAAGUGGGGGAUAACAGCUGGAAACGGCUGCUAAUACCGCAUAAUCUCGAAAGAGCAAAGAUUUAUCGCUUUAGGAUGAGCCCGCGCCUGAUUAGCUAGUUGGUGGGGUAAUGGCCUACCAAGGCAACGAUCAGUAGCCGGUCUGAGAGGACGAUCGGCCACACUGGGACUGAGACACGGCCCAGACUCCUACGGGAGGCAGCAGUGGGGAAUUUUGGACAAUGGGCGCAAGCCUGAUCCAGCGACGCCGCGUGAAUGAUGAAGGCC
rnacentral:rRNA from 1 species